rnacentral:rRNA from 1 species
AUUGAACGCUGGCGGCAGGCCUAACACAUGCAAGUCGAGCGAGCGGCGGACGGGUGAGUAAUGUCUGGGAAACUGACUGAUGGAGGGGGAUAACUCCUGGAAACGGUAGCUAAUACCGCAUACCAUCAGAUGUGUCCAGAUGGGAUUAGCUUGUAGGUGGGGUGACGGCUCACCUAGGCGACGCUCCCUAGCUGGUCUGAGAGGCUGACCAGCCACACUGUAACUGAGACACGGUCCAGACGCCUACGGGAGGAAGCAGUGGGGAAUAUUGCACAAUGGGCGCAAGCCUGAUGCAGCCAUGCGGCGUGUGUGAAGAAGGCCUUCGGGUGGUAAAGGACUUUCAGCGGGGAGGCGUUACCCGCAGAAGAAGCACCGGCUAACUCCGUGCCAGCAGCCGCGGUAAGUC